GUCUUUGUAGUAUAUAAAAUACUUCGGUCUUGUAAACCGAAAAAGGAGAACCCCACUCCUCCCUAAGACUC
rnacentral:tRNA from 2 species